CAAAAUCAUGAGUACAUGUUUGUCUUCUUUCUGCAACAUUGCAAGUUAUAUAUUGUGAUCUUAUCCAAAAGUGCAAAAUAUGAUGAAAUAUUUUUUAAUAUUCGUGAUGAUGGCUCUGCUGGUGCUGCAGGGUGCGCUGGCGGCUCCUCAGAUGGGCAUGAUGAUGGGCGGUGGGCGCGGGGGCGGGCGCGGCGGAAUGAUGGGCGGCCGGGGGCGGGGCGGCGGCGGAAUGAUGCGGGGAUGAUUCGUGAAUAGUAUUUUAUGUGAAUAAAGAUAUGUGACCGUGUA